UGAAACGUAGUAUAAAUAACAUAAAUUCCAACCCUAUUAGACUUAUUUACACUCUCUUCCACUUUCUUAAUUAUUUUACUCUUUCUCCCGAUUAAUAUACAUAACACAACCGUCAUAUACAUAAAAGUGUUAUGUGUAUGUAAAUCUUUAAAUGUCUAUUAAAAAGAAAAAUAACAGAUUUCCCUUCUAUUAUGGGCGUAACUAAUGCAGUAACAUUGAAUCCCUAAAUUUAUGUAACAACUCUACUAAUUUAAAUUUUGAAAACAACAAAUACAUAAAAAUUAGAUCAACCAGAAAACAUGAUUCACCAAAAACCUGAACAAUGAUUAUUGAUCUCUUUAAAAGAAAAAAAAUGUCUUUUGUGGAUUCAAGAAGAUGAAUAUUGCAAUUUUUUGGGCACUCUGAUGAGUGAAAAAUCAAAACAGAAUAUGUAAAGUACAAAAGUGAAGGGAUUGUUGUUACAGAAUUGAUAACUUAUUUGAAGUUUAUUUCGUCAAUUGUUGUUGAAUUAGACAUUGAUGAAGCUUGAAAAACUAUUGGUGCACGUUAUGUUGUCGAGUAGGUGUCAGUCACCAGUGAACAAAGGUCGGAUGAUGACUUCAAAUAUUGCUGAGUGUAUUAAUGGGUGUUUGGUGGAUGCCCAAAAAUUAUCAAAUACAUGAUAUUGUUAUUUAUAAAGUCAUACACAUAAGAAUGAAAUUUAGUUUUUUUCAUUCAUUUGUGGGUGUUACAUUACUCCAGUGAUAUAUCAUGAAAUUACGUGAGGGAGAUAUCUAAGAAUAUUAUAAAAUAUUCAUAAAUAUACGAAUAUAUCAUUCAAGUGGGAUAUGUAAUACCAUAUACAUAGCAAAGUGUUUUGUAUAUUAUGUACCCUGAAAUUUUCAAUUCAUAUACACAACAAUUUCUUUAUCCCAACAAUUCAGUACAUAUACACAAUAAUUUUUAUAUUUCAACAAUUUAGGUUAUACACACAACAAUUCAUAUAUAUAUAUAUAUACACACACACACACACAUAUAUAAAUAUAUACAUAUACUUGCUGUGUGAAUUUUUUUUCAUACAUAUCUUUUAAAAAUGUGUGUGUGUGUAUAUAUAUAUAAAUAUAUAUAUAUGUAAUAUUCUUAUAUAUAUAUAAGAUAUCUUAUUUCAUAUUAUUAACUUAUAUGUAUUUGAAGUCAUAUACAUAGGAUAUGAGGUUUAACCUCAGAUGCCUUUCUAAUUACUUAUAUAUACAUAUCUUAUAUAUAGGAGUAGAUACAUUUAUAAAAACCAUAUACACAAUGUGUUACAUAUGUCCUACCAUAAUUGCUAUGUAUAUAACGUACGCAUACCUGACUUAUAGAUAUGGUCACAUGAAAAUUAAUUACAUAACUGAAAAACACAUAUACAUAGCCUAGUACAAGUAAUAGACAGAUUAAUGAUAUGUAUAUGAUAAACACAUACAUAACGACUGUUAUGUGUAUGAAUUGGCAACUAGUAACAACACCCAUAAUACUUAAAAAAAUAGAAAUCUUGAACAAAAUAACAAGCAGAUUCAAAAACUAAAUAAAAAAAAUCUUUGGUAGAUGAGGCCAUGAAGUAUUCUUUUUUUUUUCUUUUUGACGAUUUUUUUAUUUGAUUUUUUGAAAUUUGGAAAAUAACUUUACUUUUUCAUCUUAACGGGGUCGUUAUGAUGUUUUGAUCAAUUUCACUGAAAUUAGAGUUCUUGUAAUCGAAAUUUUUAGGAACAAAUUUAAUACCCUAAUUUAUUUGUUUAUUAUGCUCUAAGUGAGUUAAUCCUAAACUAAAAGAUAGAGAAUCAUCUAUUACAAAGUAAUAGUUACUGAAUAAACGACAUACAAAAACUUAUUUAGUCAAACUCUUGAUUUGAUAAAGUAUAAAAAGAAAAAUAUUUCUAACUUUUAAUUUUAAAUUUAAGAAUGUUAUUAAUGGAGCUUCUGAAAAAAAAAAUGUCAUUGAAGAAGAUAUUGAAUCAAAUAUGAUUGAGAAUUCAAAAUUGAUAACUCAUAGAAAGUUGCUCUUUGAUUGUAGGCAUCUUUCAAGAAGUGAAAUCCGUAAAUAGAUAAUAGUAAAAUAAUGUAUAUGUACUUUUAGAGAGAGAAAUUGAAAAAGUGAAACUUUUGUAAUAUGUUUGGAGAGUUGGAAUUUUGUGUAAUAAGUGAUACUUAAGUUGUGGUUUUAUGUAAUUUUUAGUUACUGAAUCCGUAAAUUUAUGUAACAGCUCUACUAAUUCAAACUUUGAAAACAAUAAUUUCAUAAAAUUAGAUCAAUCAGAAAACAUAAUUCACCAAAAAAACUGAACAAUGAUUCUUAAUCUCUUUGAAAGAAAAAAUAUUUGUUUUGGAUUCAAGAAGAAGAAUAUUGUAAUUUUUUUAGGCACUCUGAUGAGUGAAAAAUCGAAAAGAAUAUGUAAAGGACAAAAGUGAAGGAAUUGUUGUCAUAAAAUCAAUAACUUAUUUGAUGUUUAUUUCGUCAAUUGUUGUUGAAUUAGACAUUGACGAAGCUUGAAAAACUAUUGAUGUAUUUUAUGUUGUCGAGUAGGUGUCAUUCACCGGUGAACAAAGGUCGGAUGAUGACUUCAAAUAUUGCUGAGUGUAUUAAUGGGUGUUUGGUGGAGGCCCAAAAAUUAUCAAAUACAUGAUAUUGUUAUUUAUAAAGUCAUACACAUAAGAAUGAAAUUUAAUUUUUUUCAUUCA
rnacentral:lncRNA from 1 species